GCCCCGGUAAACGGCGGCCGUAACUAUAACGGUCCUAAGGUAGCGAAAUUCCUUGUCGGGUAAGUUCCGACCUGCACGAAUGGCGUAAUGAUGGCCAGGCUGUCUCCACCCGAGACUCAGUGAAAUUGAACUCGCUGUGAAGAUGCAGUGUACCCGCGGCAAGACGGAAAGACCCCGUGAACCUUUACUAUAGCUUGACACUGAACAUUGAGCCUUGAUGUGUAGGAUAGGUGGGAGGCUUUGAAGUGUGGACGCCAGUCUGCAUGGAGCCGACCUUGAAAUACCACCCUUUAAUGUUUGAUGUUCUAACGUUGGCCCGUAAUCCGGGUUGCGGACAGUGUCUGGUGGGUAGUUUGACUGGGGCGGUCUCCUCCUAAAGAGUAACGGAGGAGCACGAAGGUUGGCUAAUCCUGGUCGGACAUCAGGAGGUUAGUGCAAUGGCAUAAGCCAGCUUGACUGCGAGCGUGACGGCGCGAGCAGGUGCGAAAGCAGGUCAUAGUGAUCCGGUGGUUCUGAAUGGAAGGGCCAUCGCUCAACGGAUAAAAGGUACUCCGGGGAUAACAGGCUGAUACCGCCCAAGAGUUCAUAUCGACGGCGGUGUUUGGCACCUCGAUGUCGGCUCAUCACAUCCUGGGGCUGAAGUAGGUCCCAAGGGUAUGGCUGUUCGCCAUUUAAAGUGGUACGCGAGCUGGGUUUAGAACGUCGUGAGACAGUUCGGUCCCUAUCUGCCGUGGGCGCUGGAGAACUGAGGGGGGCUGCUCCUAGUACGAGAGGACCGGAGUGGACGCAUCACUGGUGUUCGGGUUGUCAUGCCAAUGGCACUGCCCGGUAGCUAAAUGCGGAAGAGAUAAGUGCUGAAAGCAUCUAAGCACGAAACUUGCCCCGAGAUGAGUUCUCCCUGAGACUUAGAGUCUCCUGAAGGAACGUUGA
rnacentral:rRNA from 1 species